GGCUGGCCCAGUGGGAGGGAAGCAGGGCAGAGCCAACGACCGCGCACCCGCCUCAGCCCUUGGCGACUCUCUGACCGCACAGGACAGCAGCACAGCACGUUCCUGGUCCCAAAGUUUAAGCUGCACAUCUGCUCAAAAUUUGUCAUCAACAAGAACAGAGACCAGAGGAAACAGGAAGAAGUGGCUUCUCUGUGUCGGUAGCAGGACCAUAGUGUGGGUUCACCACGGGCUUGGACACAGAUCCUGGGUUCUCAAUCUUGCCACAUGCUGGACCCACUUGGGAAGCUUCUGAAGCCGGGAUCCCACAAAGGAACUGCAGACACAGACUUCUGAGAACUGCCGCCUGCUGCUUGACAAGGUGUGGCCUGCUGGCUCCUGCCUCCCUGCCCGUGGGUGAGUUGACACAAUAACCAGAGUGCCUAUCAAAGGACCGAUGACUCAGCCUCCAGGUCCAGCCUCCAUCUUGCUUGGCUUGUUUUCUGGGCAAGGCAGCAGAGAACCAGCGGGCAAGAUGGGGCAAAAUGCACAACUUGCCAGAUUUCGCCAGCAGCUCAUCUGGUUUCAGAUUCAAACUGCCGUUCUGUUUCAUUGUACGUGAGAAAGUCAUCGUAGUUUGCUGGUGGGAGAAAAGGGGUUUCUUAAAGUGUGGUCCACAGAUGCCCUGGGUAUGUCGAGAAUACAGAUUCCUGGGCUGUACCCCAGACUCGUUAAGUGGGACCCUCAAAGUGGGGGGCCCUGGAACCUGCCAUUUUAACAAGCUCUCCAAGGAUUUGGACUGAAGGGUGUCAGUGGAUUGCCACUGGGAAUAAUUCCUGGGAUGCUUAACCCUGUGAGCUGGGCCAGACAGCCCAAAGAGGAGGCGGCGAUGGCCAACCCACCUGAACUUCCUUCUCUCCUGGCUCUCUUCUUUGCCUUGCUGAGCACAACAAACACAGAGUGGACCUCGGAGGUGGUCUGAAAAUGCAAUGACCUGACUUCAGUAUAGUCCAACCCAAAAUGCUAAAUUUAAAAAAGGAAGGAAAUCACACUUAUUCAUGGUCCACAGGUUUUCAAAAGACCUGUUAAUCAUGUGGAGAUUUAUUGCUUUUUUUGGCCGUCUUAUAUGUAGUCUCCUUGCUUUAGUAACAACGCCCCAAGAUCCAUUUGGAGUCAUCUCUGCCUCCCUGUGGGCAAUCUGAUGGGCAGGUCAGUCAGGGUGUCUGGUGGCAGGUGACCCAAGCCAGACCAUCAACAUUUCUCUCCGAGGCUCGGUGAGGAUGGAAAACCCAGUUGGUGUUUGUUCCCUCCAGCAAACGUAUCUCGCUCCGUCUCCGUCAGUCUCCGUCUCUUGGAUUCUCUGCCCCUCUCUGAGCCUUCUCUAGCACACGGAAGUUCCAUGGACCACCCGAGGUCCCUCCCAGGAAUCCGCCUGCUGCUUACGCUCUGGUCCUCUCGACAACCCUGAAGGUUCUCUCUGUGUCUGCAUGCUGCUGCAAUGUUCUGGAAAGCUUCACCCUGCUUUUAUUUGUCACGGGGAGAAGGGAAGAGCCGAGGUGAGAAUGACGAUGUGAAUCUUUUCUCUGCCAUUCAUUUUGCCUCAUUCAACUCAGUCCAUCAUAAAAGCUUUACAUUUUCAUCACAGACAACGUGGAGUAAGUUGCUUCCAUGGACUCAUUGAGAUUUGGGUCUUUUUCCACGUGCGUCGGAUUUCCAGUCUAAACUCACUGCUUUUAAGCUACAUCAGUCGGUUCCAAUUUGAUGAAAGGAUGGAAGAGUGAAUGCAGAGGGGAGAGAACGUUUUGCUGGAUGAUAAAACCCACCUGCAAGGGCUUUUGUUUCUAAGUAGAACUGAAGCUCUGGAAUCGAGAACACAGCCAGAGAAGAGCUUCUGACCCUAAGUUAGAAAAACCAACUCACUUCUCAGGCAAUUCCAGUUAAAAUUUGUGAAAUCAAGUUAGGAAUCAAAAUCAACUGAGAACCAAUGUCUGGGGGGAAAGCACCAUAAUGUCCCUAGAUAUUAGCUAAAAGACUUGCUACGUUGGCAUGAGAUUUCGAAUAUGUUAUUUAGUAGUAUUGUGACCAUCAAUUAGUUUCAACACCAAAAAUGACAAAAAGCAGGUUUAAGUUCAAUUUCAGAAAUGUGAAGCGGCACUACUGCCACCUGGUGGCCAUUUAUGCAAAUUGUUCGUUCAGGGUUUUUUUUUUUUUUUAAAGGAUUGGCACCUGGGCUAACAACUGUUGCCAAUCUUUUUUUUUUUUCUGCUUUAUUUCCCAAACGCCCCCCGCCCCCAACCCCUCCC
ensembl:lncRNA